rnacentral:rRNA from 1 species
UUUUAUUUGAGAGUUUGAUCCUGGCUCAGGAUGAACGCUGGCGGCGUGCCUAACACAUGCAAGUUGAGCGAUUUACUUCGGUAAAGAGCGGCGGACGGGUGAGUAACGCGUGGGUAACCUACCCUGUACACACGGAUAACAUACCGAAAGGUAUGCUAAUACGGGAUAAUAUAUUUGAGAGGCAUCUCUUGAAUAUCAAAGGUGAGCCAGUACAGGAUGGACCCGCGUCUGAUUAGCUAGUUGGUAAGGUAACGGCUUACCAAGGCGACGAUCAGUAGCCGACCUGAGAGG